rnacentral:rRNA from 1 species
UACGUAGGUGGCAAGCGUUGUCCGGAUUUACUGGGCGUAAAGAGCGCGCAGGCGGUCGUUCAAGUCGCGUGUGAAAGCCCCCGGCUCAACUGGGGAGGGUCACGCGAUACUGAUCGACUCGAAGGCAGGAGAGGGAAGUGGAAUUCCCGGUGUAGUGGUGAAAUGCGUAGAUAUCGGGAGGAACACCAGUGGCGAAGGCGACUUCCUGGCCUGUUCUUGACGCUGAGGCGCGAAAGCUAGGGUAGCAAACGGG